rnacentral:piRNA from 1 species
ACACCCACUAAUGGUUCGUGCCCUACAGU